rnacentral:rRNA from 1 species
AUUGAACGCUGGCGGCAGGCCUAACACAUGCAAGUCGAACGGUAGCACAGAGGAGCUUGCUCCUUGGGUGACGAGUGGCGGACGGGUGAGUAAUGUCUGGGAAACUGCCCGAUGGAGGGGGAUAACUACUGGAAACGGUAGCUAAUACCGCAUAACGUCGCAAGACCAAAGAGGGGGACCUUCGGGCCUCUUGCCAUCGGAUGUGCCCAGAUGGGAUUAGCUAGUAGGUGGGGUAACGGCUCACCUAGGCGACGAUCCCUAGCUGGUCCGAGAGGAUGACCAGCCACACUGGAACUGAGACACGGUCCAGACUCCUACGGGAGGCAGCAGUGGGGAAUAUUGCACAAUGGGCGCAAGCCUGAUGCAGCCAUGCCGCGUGUAUGAAGAAGGCCUUCGGGUUGUAAAGUACUUUCAGCGAGGAGGAAGGCGUUGUGGUUAAUAACCGCAACGAUUGACGUUACUCGCAGAAGAAGCACCGGCUAACUCCGUGCCAGCCGCCGCGGUAAAAGGG